rnacentral:misc_RNA from 1 species
UCUCCGUUGGUGAACCAGCGGAGGGAUCAUUGCGAGAUCGAGCGUGCUCUGCACGCUCCUUCCCAAACCACCUGCCUACCUUACCGGACUGUUGCUUCGGCGGCGGCAAGGCCCGAUAUGGGCUCUGCUACCGCCGGAGGUAUGCACGAACGAGACUCUUUCUGUUUCUCUUCCUUUCUAGCAAAGCGCGCCUGGCCUAUCAGGCGUCCGCCGAGCUUCUCUCCUGAGCAAAACAAGAUACAAAGAAUUACAAGAAAUAAGUUAAAACUUUCAACAACGGAUCUCUUGGUUCUGGCAUCGAUGAAGAACGCAGC